UGGGGAAUUUUCCGCAAUGGGCGAAAGCCUGACGGAGCAAUACCGCGUGAGGGAAGAAGGCUUUUGGGUUGUAAACCUCUUUUGUCAGGGAAGAAGAAUUGACGGUACCUGAAGAAAAAGCAUCGGCUAACUCCGUGCCAGCAGCCGCGGUAAUACGGAGGAUGCAAGCGUUAUCCGGAAUCAUUGGGCGUAAAGGGUCCGCAGGUGGCGAAUAAAGUCUGCUGUUAAAGACCGGGGCUAAACUCCGGAAAGGCAGUGGAAACUGAUUAGCUAGAGUACGGUAGGGGUAGAGGGAAUUCCCAGUGUAGCGGUGAAAUGCGUAGAUAUUGGGAAGAACACCGGUGGCGAAAGCGCUCUACUAGGCCGAAACUGACACUGAGGGACGAAAGCUAGGGUAGCG
rnacentral:rRNA from 1 species